rnacentral:rRNA from 1 species
GACGAACCGUGCGAACGUUGUUCGGAAUCACUGGGCUUAAAGGGCGCGUAGGCGGGCGAUCAAGUCCGGGGUGAAAUCUUUCGGCUUAACCGGAAAAGUGCCUUGGAUACUGAUCGUCUGGAGGGAGGUAGGGGCAUGUGGAGCUUCCGGUGGAGCGGUGAAAUGCGUUGAUAUCGGAAGGAACGCCGGUGGCGAAAGCGACGUGCUGGACCUCUUCUGACGCUGAGGCGCGAAAGCCAGGGGAGCGAACGGG